rnacentral:lncRNA from 1 species
UUGGCAUGAACGUUUAACGGCCCAUCGUCAAACCAUUCUGAAUAAAUACUGAUCAACUUUGUUAGAGUCUCGUCCGAGAUGCUCAACUCUUUAAAUGGAUAAUUCUUCCAGACUGAUAGGCUUCACUUUUUCUUUCUCUUUGAAAGCAGUUGAUGGACUAUCAACUAUGAUAGUAUGCUGUUAUGCAGUAGCUUCUACUGUCACAUCUACCUGGAAAGCCCAAAUUGUCAAUGCUAAUCACAAAGAUACAAGAAAAUAAAUAGAAAAAGAUAGCUCAUCUGUUGCAACAGAUGGUCCAUCUGUUAGAGAAAAUCAAAUAGGUAUUCCUACUGUUUUAAUUUAUCCCAACAGAUGACCUAUCAAUUGCAACAGAUGGGUCAUCUGUUUGAACAUAUUCAAACAGAAGAAAAACCUGUAUGAUAAGUUCUAACAAAUGACUCAUUUGCUGCAACAGAUGACUCAUCUAUUAAAACAAACUAAAAUAGUAGGAAGACAUAAUUUAAUUUAUCCCAAUAGAUGACCCAUCUACUACAACAGGUGGGUCAUCUGUUGGAAAAAAUUAAAAUAGUAGGAAUACCUGUUUGAUUUUCUCCAACAGAUGAGACAUCUGUUACAAUAGAUAAUGCAUUUGAUGUAAAAAAUAGUCAUCUGUUGCAACAGAUAUCUAUAUAUGUUUGAUAAUUUUCAACAGAUGUGUCAUCUGUUGAAAAAGAUAUGUAAUCUAUUUGUUUGUUCGAACGGAUGAUAAAUAUUCACCUUUUUCAGCUCAUGUUGUUCUCUUGUGGCCCUUGUACAUUGCUUAACAGUGCAAGACAAAGGAGUUGCAAUUUUUCUUUUGUUGAUGCUUGAUAAUGCCUUGGAAAUUGUUUUUUUAUCCUCUUAGCCUUAACCUCUAAUGGAGUCUAUGAAUCUGAAAUCCUCUUUGAUGGAAUGACACCCUUCUUAAAUGUUAAUUCCUUUAUAGUAGUAGUUAAUGCAUUAAUAGCAUUAAUCACUCCAUCAUAUUUCGCAUUUCAAACUUGAAAUUUGUAUGCACAAUAUAAGAUAGGAAAGGAAAGAUCUCCAAAAUAUUGACUACCCUUUUAUGUGAGAAAUCUGUAAUGUGCCCAAUUUAAAGAAGGGGUAUAUCAACCACCAAAAUCGGUAAAACUAGUAUAAUCAUAAUCAUACUAGUUUGUUGUUUCAAAAUAGCAAUAGAAGCAUCAACCAACUUAUCAACACCACCAGCCCAAACAACAGCACCAUCACCACUAUCACCACCAACAGCUCCAUCACAACCACCAUCAUUAGUAGCACCAUCAAUAACAACAAGCCCACCCUUCCAAAGCAUUUUUCUUGUGAUGGUUGUUGCUCCAACUAAUUAAUUUUUUAUUCUAUCAAUUAUCUUA